AUUGAACGCUGGCGGCAGGCCUAACACAUGCAAGUCGAGCGAGCGGCGGACGGGUGAGUAAUGUAUGGGGACUGCCCGAUAGAGGGGGAUAACUACUGGAAACGGUGGCUAAUACCGCAUACUAUCGGAUAACCCAUAUGGGAUUAGCUAGUAGGUGGGGUAAAGGCUCAUCUAGGCGACGAUCUCUAGCUGGUCUGAGAGGAUGAUCAGCCACACUGGGACUGAGACACGGCCCGAACUCUUACGGAGGCAGAAGUGGGGAAUAUUGCACAAUGGGCGAAAGCCGGCGGAAGCCAUGCCGCGGGGAUGAAGAAGGCCUUAGGGUUGUAAAGUACUUUCAGCGGGGAGGCGUUACCCGCAGAAGAAGCACCGGCUAACUCCGUGCCAGCAGCCGCGGUAAUUC
rnacentral:rRNA from 1 species